rnacentral:lncRNA from 1 species
AGGUAACCCCCAAAUCCUUCAUCUUUAAUUAUAUUAAUUAGCCAAUUAAUCAAAUAAUUAUUCCAUCAAUUAGCUAAUUAAACACAAAUCAUGAACCUAGCACACAAAUCCAUCCAAGUGGCCAGUCCAUCUCCUCCCAAGGUGGUCGGCCACUCCCCUAUAUAAACCCCCUCAUUCUCUCCAAAACAGAAUUCCAAUUCUCUUGCUAAAUUUUCUAAAUUCUCCAAACCCUUUUCCCUCAAAAUUCUAACUUUUGCAUCGGAGGUUCUUCGGCCAAAGCCCCCCCCCCCCAUUCAUCCUGGGCACAUGAGGCUCUUGGCCUUGACCUAAGUUAUUAUUUGUUUUGUAGGUGCAAUUUUGUCUAAGAGCAAGGAGGAAAAAAUUUGCAUCCACAAGUCACAUGUUUAGGUUUGUGGGUUAUGACAUGAAAAUUGGUUGCAUCAUGUUAUAUAUUUUUAUUUCUCCUCAUGAGAUUUGUUGAUGCACAUAUUUUGGACCCACAAAAGUUAAUCAAGGACUAAUCAUGGUACACAUUAUUUAAAAAUUUCAUGCUUAUUUGUCUCUUAAGUCUCGAACUUUGCUAUUGCGGUUUCUGUUUGGACCUUGUUGUGUUUAAAUUUAAUUCAUGAUAAAAUUGGACAAUAAAGUAGAUUUCCUUAUAUUUCUCUAGGCACCAUAAAUUAUGAAAAUAUGUUUAGAACUGAAUUUUGUAUUGUUUUAUAAGAUUUAUGAUAGAUGCACAAAAAUUUCUUCGGAGAUUAUGUGUCUUUAGUCAAGCUUGAUCAAUGACACAUUUAAUCCAUGAAAUGACUUUAUUUUUUGAUAUGUUGUAUGUAUAUGUGUCUUCUCUUACAAUGCAAAUUUUCGAGGUCAUUGGUUAUGUAUUUUAUUUGUUACAAAUUUUUUAAGUAACAUAUGCUCAGAACAAAGUCUCUGGUGUAAGUUUUUGGUUGAUUUAGUUUGCUUGCUAUUUUGAAUGUUAAUAGGACAUAAAAUGUUUUCAUAAUUUUUACUAUGAAUACUAAGUCCUUUUCGUUAUUGUUUUACCUUGGGUUAGUCAAUCUUAUAAAUUAAUUAUAUUAAAUCCCAGAGUAAGAGAGACUUAGGGCUGGUUUGGUAUUGCUGUGCUUUGAAAAAAAGCUGCUGUGAGAAUAAGCGGCUGUGCUG